GCCAGGGUAGCUCAGUUGGUUAGAGCGUGGGACUCAUAAGCCCGAGGUCGUGGGUUCGACCCCCACCCCUGGCA
rnacentral:tRNA from 1 species